rnacentral:rRNA from 1 species
AUUGAACGCUGGCGGCAGGCUUAACACAUGCAAGUCGAACGAGUGGCGGACGGGUGAGUAAUGCAUGGGAACGUGCCUGGUGGAGGGGGAUAACUAUCGGAAAGGGUAGCUAAUACCGCAUACUAUUGGAUGGGCCCAGGUGUGAUUAGCUGGUUGGCGGGGUAAAGGCUCACCAAGGCGACGAUCCAUAGCUGGUCUGAGAGGAUGACCAGCCACACUGGAACUGAGACACGGCCCAGACUCCUACGGGAGGCAGCAGUGGGGAAUAUUGCACAAUGGGCGCAAGCCUGAUGCAGCCAUGCCGCGUGUAUGAAGAAGGCCUUCGGGUUGUAAAGUACUUUCAUCAGGGAAGCGGUACCUGCAGAAGAAGCACCGGCUAACUCCGUGCCAGCAGCCGCGGUAAUUC